GGGGGGGGGGGGGGGGGGGGGGGGGGGGGGCGGGGCGGGGGGGGGGGGGGGGGGGGGGGGGGGUGCUCGGGGGGGGAGCGGGGGAGUAACAGGUGAGUAACCUUCCCGUGACUGUGGGGUGACUUCCGGCAGAUGGGGCUAAUACCGGAUAGGCGCGCCUGCUGCAUGGAGGGGGUUGGAAAGGUUCGGCGGUGGGGGAUGGACUCGCGGCUUCGUAGCUUGUGUGUGGGGUAGGGGCUUACCAAGGCUUUGACGGGUAGCCGGCCUGAGAGGGUGACCGGCCCCCUUGGGACUGAGAUACGGCCCAGACUCCUCCGGGAGGCAGCAGGGGGGAAGAUUGCACAAUGGGCGGAAGCCGGAUGCAGCAACGCCGCGUGCGGGAUGACGGCCUUCGGGUUGUAAACCGCUUUCGCCUGUGACGAAGCGUGAGUGACGGUAAUGGGUAAAGAAGCACCGGCUAACUACGUG
rnacentral:rRNA from 1 species